rnacentral:misc_RNA from 1 species
GAUGAAGAACGUAGCGAAAUGCGAUACUUGGUGUGAAUUGCAGAAUCCCGUGAACCAUCGAGUCUUUGAACGCAAGUUGCGCCCGAAGCCAUUAGGCCGAGGGCACGCCUGCCUGGGCGUCACACGUCGUUGCCCCCCCAUCUACUCCUUCGGGAUUGCGGGGGCGGAUGAUGGCCUCCCGUGCGCCUCGUCGCGCGGUUGGCAUAAAUGCCAAGUCCUCGGCGACGCACGCCACGACAAUCGGUGGUUGCGAAACCUCGGUUGCCCGUCGUGUGCGGUCGUCGCGCAUCGAGGGCUCGAAAAAAUUGUCGGGCUCCGGCUCGGCUUUCAACGCGACCCCAGGUCAGGCGGGGUUACCCGCUGAAUUUAAGCAUAUCAAUAAGCGGGGA